rnacentral:rRNA from 1 species
GACGAACGCUGGCGGCGUGCCUAAUACAUGCAAGUCGAACGCAGUGGGGACGGGUGAGUAACACGUGGGUAACCUCCCAUCAGAGGGGAUAAAACUUGGAAACAGGUGCUAAACCGAUACUGAUGGAUGGACCCGCGGUGCAUUAGCUAGUUGGUGAGGUAACGGGUCACCAAGGCCACGAUGCAUAGCUGACCUGAGAGCGUGAUCGGCCACACUGGGACGGAGACAGGGCCCAGACUCCUACGGGAGGCAGCAGGAGGGAACCUUCGGCAAUGGACGAAAGUCUGACGGACCAACGCCGAGUGAGUGAAGAAGGUUUUCGGGUCGUAAAGCUCUGUUGGUAGAGAAGCGGUAUCUAACCAGAAAGCCACGGCUAACUACGUGCCAGCCGCCGCGGUAAUAC